rnacentral:rRNA from 2 species
UGCAGAAUCCCGUGAACCAUCGAGUCUUUGAACGCAAGUUGCGCCCGAAGCCACUAGGCCGAGGGCACGUCUGCCUGGGCGUCACGC